AGCAGCCGCGGUAAUUCCAGCUCCAAUAGCGUAUAUUAAAGUUGUUGCAGUUAAAAAGCUCGUAGUUGAAUUUCGGGAUCAAUAUGUUGGUCGUGCCUUGGUACGUACUGGCAUUAUCGAUUCCUACCUUCUGAAGAAUCUCGAUGUCAUUAAUUUGGUGUCUUGGGGAAUCAGGACUGUUACUUUGAAAAAUUAGAGUGUUUAAAGCAGGCUCGCGCUUGAAUACAUUAGCAUGGAAUAAUGAAAUAGGACGUUUGAUUCUAUUUUGUUGGUUUCUAGGAUUGACGUAAUGAUUAAUAGGGAUAGUUGGGGGCAUUAGUAUUUCAAUUGUCAGAGGUGAAAUUCUUGGAUUUAUUGAAGACUAACUACUGCGAAAGCAUUUGCCAAGGAUGUUUUCAUUAAUCAAGAACGAAAGUUAGGGGAUCGAAGACGAUCAGAUACCGUCGUAGUCUUAACCAUAAACUAUGCCGACUAGGGAUCGGAUGAUGUUAAUUUUUUAAUGUA
rnacentral:misc_RNA from 1 species